AUUACAACUUUCAGCGAUGGAUGUCUAGGUUCUCGCAACGAUGAAGAACGCAGCGAAAUGCGAUACGUAAUGCGAAUUGCAGAAUAAGUGAAUCAUCAAAUUUUUGAACGCAAAUUGCGCUUCCGGGUACUCCUGGGAGCAUUCCUGUUUCAGUGUCUGUU
rnacentral:rRNA from 1 species